AUUGAACGCUGGCGGCAUGCUUUACACAUGCAAGUCGAACGGUAACAGGCCGCAAGGUGCUGACGAGUGGCGAACGGGUGAGUAAUGCAUCGGAACGUGCCCAGUCGUGGGGGAUAACGCAGCGAAAGCUGUGCUAAUACCGCAUACGAUCUAUGGAUGAAAGCGGGGGACCGUAAGGCCUCGCGCGAUUGGAGCGGCCGAUGUCAGAUUAGGUAGUUGGUGGGGUAAAGGCCUACCAAGCCGGCGAUCUGUAGCUGGUCUGAGAGGACGACCAGCCAAACUGGGACUGAGACACGGCCCAGACUCCGACGGGAGGCAGCAGUGGGGAAUUUUGGACAAUGGGCGCAAGCCUGAUCCAGCAAUGCCGCGUGCAGGAAGAAGGCCUUCGGGUUGUAAACUGCUUUUGUACGGAACGAAACGGUCUGGGUUAAUACCCUGGACUAAUGACGGUACCGUAAGAAUAAGCACCGGCUAACUACGUGCCAGCCGCCGCAGUAACAC
rnacentral:rRNA from 1 species